GAGAGCUUCAAGGUUAUCUAAGGAUCUGGUGGCACAAUGGAAAUGGGGCCCAACGGGGAGAAGUCCUGUAGGGAUGAAGUGAUUUAAGAGAACCAGAGUCUUGAGCUUUGAUUGGAAGGAGACUUGCGCUCUGCUGGCCAACCCCAAGUCCACCUAAGGCAGUUUUGAAAAUAUCAUCCAAAACAUUUCAUGUGGUUUCUGAUGCGCUAUUCUGCUGGAGAGGUCACCCUCCAGAGACUGCCGUGUGGCUUUGCAGGAAGCAGUUGUCAGAAAGAUGAGGAGAUGAAGCACCGAGGGACCGAGUCAAAUUUGUAAAGGUGAUGUAAAUGAGCUUUCGAGUCAAUAAGUCAGGCCCGAGACUAUUCUGCAGAAUCAAGCCACCUGAGGGGAAGGACCUCAUGUGAUAUCACAAAAGUGUCCUUAACUGGGAGCACUGCGUAGCACAUUCACAAUGCCAGGUGAGUAGUCUGUGCGGGAGUCAAGUGAAUCAAAAGCUUUAUUACAGGUUAAGCCAAGGAGCGUGCUGAGGCCUUUGCUGUAAAAGUGUUCUGGGACCUUCGUUGUGUUUCGGGUUUGGUGUUGCUGACAAACACGAUGGACAAGGCGUGGCAGAGAUUUUAUGUUCGAAAGUCAGUCUUCUUUCAUCUGCUUUAUGCCAACAGAAAUAAUUGUAAAACAGAGUAUUGUGAUUGAGCAUGCCAGCUCUUGUCAGGUGGUGAGAAUGUAGUUAUCCAGACUGGAAUCUGGACUGCGUACCAAGUCAAGUGUGUGGCUAUUUUUCAAUGCUUGUCUUUUUACUGGUUGGUUGAUUCAUCAUCUGUUAAAUACCAUGGCACUUUUGUGUGCAUUGUCUUUGUUUACCGAGCAAUAUAGAUGGGAUUUCUCUGUGCUUUCUUUAGAAGAAGUUCACCUAAAAGAAAAAUCCAGGUUGCAUACAGAACUUUUUUCCUCCUCCUAUCAUCACAGCAGCUCUGAGCUUUUCAGACUUUUCCAAAUGAAACAUGACAUACUUCAUUUAUACAGCCAGACACAUUCAAAAAUAAAUAAA